GCUGAGGUGAAGGGAUCAGAGCCCAGGCUGCAGCAGGCGGCUGCAGAAUUUCCUGCAGGAGCCCAUUGAGAUCUCACACUGUGACACAGCUGGAAAAACACGUUCCCAGCCUGCAGGCAGAAGCAAAGCUCUAAAACAGAGGAGCUUCAAGCUGACAAACAGCCCCGAUUUAAGGAGUUAAGCUGAAGAGCUCUCAUCACUAAAAGCACAUCUGCUGCAUGCCAGCUACUUUCUCUAAGUGUGUGAAAGACAUCUGUCAUAUCAAGGGACUCUCCUCUUCAGACCCAGAGUCAAAUGGAAUUACGAAGACCAGAUACUUUCUUGCAGCUUCCUGCACAUCUUACUAAAUAACAUGCAAAGAGUUCAACAGCAUUCUUCUUAAAAUGAAAGAAGAAACACGUUUCGGAUAGAAGCACCGUUUAACUGAGGACAGGUGAAAGGACAAAGAGAGCAAAUUUUAAAAACAAAAGGAAUCAGUACUGCACCUUUACUGGGAAUUUAAGCUGGUUGUAGACCUCUGACACAAGCAAGUUAUGACUCAGUGUUUUUCGCAUCUUCAUAAUCCGCACGAUGGCCGCAUCGAUCUGGUACUGCCGGUCCUGGAACACCCUCUCUGUAGUGCUUGCCUGCUCCUCUACCUGAUGGAUCCAUUUAGGAAGAGUUUUAAAGAGAACACAACUGUUGAAUACAUUCUUCUUCAUAUCUAAGACGAGUCUUUAUUGUGAGACACUAAGAUGUCUACUGUAAAAUACUGGACACAAAUCCUACAAAAUAUGCAAGUCCACUGUCGUAAGAACUCGUGCUGGGAGUAAAAUCUUUGCACAGAUUUUACAUUAGCUGGCAAAUUCACAGUGGAUCUGUUCACAAAUCAGGAAAGCUCUAGGGAACGAUUGAGGUGAACAGAGCAUCCACUACUUGGAACCUCUGCUGAUCAACUUUAGAGAUGAUGGAUUUCUAAGUUAGCACAGAAGCUCGUGUUUAAAUGUCCACUGUUAAGUUUGUGCUAUCAUCCAAAAUAUAUGUGCAUCCUUCACACAGAUACCAUUAUGGACAUUACAACUGAGAGGAAUAAAGCUUAUAAAUGGGCAAGCAACAAGAUACUUAGCCCAAGAAUGAAAUACCUACAUUAUUAGAAAAAACAACAAGAAAUAUACCGUUUCUUUCAUCUGAA